rnacentral:lncRNA from 13 species
AUUCACAAAAAGUUGCAAAGAACAGCACAGAGUGGUCCCAUCUACCCUUUAUUCCAUUUUCCCCAGUGUUUAUAUCUUAGGAUCAGCAGUGGCAACAGAAACAAGAUGAGGUUCUCCAGGAAGACUUUGGGUGUCUGACUGAAUCACACAUAAACUGGACUGGAUCCAGAGCUGCAUUGGAAUUAAGGACUUCCAGUACAAUCUUGAAAAGCAGUGGUGAGAAGGGGCACCCACACCUUACUCCUCAUCUUAGGAGGAAAGCAUGUUUACAUUGCUUCUUUUUCUUAGUUCCCUAAGGUGGCAGCUUGGACUAUUGAUUUUUAUAUCUUUGUUCUUUUCUAAUAUAUUCAUUCAAUGCUAUAAUUUCCCUAUAAGCACUGCUUUUGCUGUAUCCAUACAUUUUGAUAAGUUGUUUUUUCAUUUUCAUGUAGUUCAACUAUUUUUAAAUUUUUGUUGAG